GCUCUGAGUUAUUCCCACUCUUCAACACUAACAUGGUUUAUUCCCAAUCUACGGUUUUCUUACUGCACAGUAUUUCACACCAGCUACUGCUGUGCUGGGACAACUCUGAGACUCUGAAAGCCAGACUCUGCUCCAGCCACCAUGGAAGGCUGCUUCCCUCCCGGGUGCUCUCUGUGGUGCUUCUGCCUUGGCACCAGCCAGCCACGGGCUGCAAGCUCUGAACUGGUGAGCCAAAGAGGGUCUUUGUGUGGCUGCUCCCAUGUUGUGCAUCAAUUCAAAACAUUCACCUUUGAUGGUCAUUUUGACUUCAGAGAAGAACCGGAAGUCACACCAUGCCAAACCUUGUGAGUAAGGUGGAGGAGGACAUGCCAUAGUGUUUUCAUUUGAAUAAAAUUUCCCUAAGUGUUUUGAAUCAACAUAGGAAGUUGAGGUAACCAUAAAAAGACAUUCACAAUAGGUGAUAUCUAGAACUGCCUGAGAAAAUGGCAAUAAUGAUGGGAUAAGUGGGUUUCAAACCGAGGGGAGUAUUUUGAAAAGGACCAGUGGCAGUAUGUCUUCACUGUAAUCAUU